CUCCCUUCAGUUAGUCGUUUGACACAAAUUCAUCACACAUUCGUCGUGUGUUUCCGAGCACGUAUGUCUUUCUUUAGAGCCUGUGAUAUGACCUUGCAGGUCCGUUUGGCUUGCUUCACACGGGAGUCAAGAUUUCCUAGGCGAUUCCACCAAAGGAUCAAGAAACUGGAGGAACAACCCUCUCAGCUUUGGGUGUAUUCCCAAAUGAAACCUUCCACUGCUUCUCCACAGGCCAUGCCGUCUGCUUCCUACUUAGGACUUUCAAUCUUGCUGAUAUUGAGAGGGAUCAAUGGAGACUCAGUGACCCAGACAGAAGGUUCUGUUACCCUCUUUGAGGGGACACCUUUGACCCUGAAUUGCACUUACCAGAGUAGCUACACAGUUUUUGUUUUCUGGUAUGUCCAGCACCAAAACAAAGCUCCUCAAUUGCUCCUGAAAAGCUUAUCAGAAAACCAGAGGGCAGAGCAUCACGGUUUUCACGCCAGUCUUGUUAAGAGUGACAGCUCCUUCCACCUGCAGAAACGCUCUGUGAGAAUGUCAGACUCGGCUGUGUACUACUGCGUCCUAGGAGGCACAGUGAGAUCGCCUGCAGGGGGAGCCGAGCACAAACCCAGAGGGGGGCAGGAGGGCCCUGGAUGUGAGCAGCCUGGGAGGGGAGAAUGAUGAUUUUUCUCUAGUUAGAGUCUUGUGCUGGGCGCGGCCCCCAGGGAACAGAUACCUGAUGCCUCCGCCCUCAGGCACCCCGAGUUUUACUUCGAGCUAGGAAUGGAAGGAGGCAAUGUAGGUGAAAACUUAGAUUAUCAUUAUGCCUAUACAUAGAAUCCUAUAGUCAAUGGCCUUUUGUGUCUGGUUUCUUUCACACAGCAUCACCUUUUCAAGGUGUAUCCAUGUAUCAGUACUUUAGUACUUCUGUGGCUGCGCAAUAAUCCAUUGUAUGGAUACCCUAUAUUUUCUUUGUCCAUUCAUCAGUUGAUGGGCAUUUUGGUUGUUUCCACUUUUUGUGAAAACACUCAUGUACAGGAGCUCUGCUCUUUCAAACUUGAAUAUAUUUUAAGUUAGAGAUUUCUGGGUAUUUUUUCGUUUUGUUUUUUGCUUUAUUUGGGACUAACGUUUCUUUGUGGAUAUGCAAUUGAAUA